GAUGAACGCUGGCGGCGUGCCUAAUACAUGCAAGUCGAGCGAACGGACGAGAAGCUUGCUUCUCUGAUGUUAGCGGCGGACGGGUGAGUAACACGUGGAUAACCUGCCUAUAAGACUGGGAUAACUUCGGGAAACCGGAGCUAAUACCGGAUAAUAUUUUGAACCGCAUGGUUCAAAAGUGAAAGACGGUCUUGCUGUCACUUAUAGAUGGAUCCGCGCUGCAUUAGCUAGUUGGUAAGGUAACGGCUUACCAAGGCAACGAUGCAUAGCCGACCUGAGAGGGUGAUCGGCCACACUGGAACGGAGACACGGUCCAGACUCCUACGGGAGGCAGCAGUAGGGAAUCUUCCGCAAUGGGCGAAAGCCUGACGGAGCAACGCCGCGUGAGUGAUGAAGGUCUUCGGAUCGUAAAACUCUGUUAUUAGGGAAGAACAUAUGUGUAAGUAACUGUGCACAUCUUGACGGUACCUAAUCAGAAAGCCACGGCUAACUACGUG
rnacentral:rRNA from 1 species